UAUUGGACAAUGGGCGCAAGCCUGAUCCAGCAAUACCGCGUGUGUGAAGAAGGCCUUAGGGUUGUAAAGCACUUUCAAUUGGAAGGAAAACCUGCCGGUCAAUACCCGGUAGCUUGACAUUACCUUUAGAAGAAGCACCGGCUAACUCCGUGCCAGCAGCCGCGGUAAUACGGAGGGUGCGAGCGUUAAUCGGAAUUACUGGGCGUAAAGCGUGCGUAGGCGGUUCGUUAAGUCAGAUGUGAAAGCCCUGGGCUCAACCUGGGAACUGCAUUUGAAACUGGCGGACUAGAGUUUAGUAGAGGGGAGUGGAAUUUCAGGUGUAGCGGUGAAAUGCGUAGAUAUCUGAAGGAACACCAGUGGCGAAGGCGACUCCCUGGACUAGAACUGACGCUGAGGACGAAA
rnacentral:rRNA from 1 species